rnacentral:pre_miRNA from 1 species
AGUUGGGUAGCUGGGUCAAAUGGUGGUUCCAUUCCAAGUUUUCUGAGGAAUCUCCAUACUUUUUUCCAAAGUGGUUGUAUCAAUUUGCACUCCCACCAGCAAU